AUUGAACGCUGGCGGCAUGCCUUACACAUGCAAGUCGAACGGCAGCACGGGUGCUUGCACCUGGUGGCGAGUGGCGAACGGGUGAGUAAUACAUCGGAACGUACCUUAUCGUGGGGGAUAACGCAGCGAAAGCUGUGCUAAUACCGCAUACGCCCUGAGGGGGAAAGCGGGGGAUCGCAAGACCUCGCGCGAUUAGAGCGGCCGAUGCCUGAUUAGCUUGUUGGUGGGGUAAAAGCCCACCAAGGCGACGAUCAGUAGCUGGUCUGAGAGGACGACCAGCCACACUGGGACUGAGACACGGCCCAGACUCCUACGGGAGGCAGCAGUGGGGAAUUUUGGACAAUGGGCGCAAGCCUGAUCCAGCCAUUCCGCGUGCAGGAUGAAGGCCCUCGGGUUGUAAACUGCUUUUGUACGGAACGAAAAGGCCUUCUCUAAUACAGAGGGCUCAUGACGGUACCGUAAGAAUAAGCACCGGCUAACUACGUGCCAGCCGCCGCAGUAA
rnacentral:rRNA from 1 species